rnacentral:rRNA from 1 species
UGGGGAAUAUUGCACAAUGGGCGAAAGCCUGAUGCAGCAACGCCGCGUGAACGAUGAAGGUCUUCGGAUCGUAAAGUUCUGUUGCAGGGGAAGAUAAUGACGGUACCCUGUGAGGAAGCCCCGGCUAACUACGUGCCGGCAGCCGCGGUAAUACGUAGGGGGCUAGCGUUAUCCGGAUUUACUGGGCGUAAAGGGUGCGUAGGUGGUCCUUCAAGUCGGUGGUUAAAGGCUACGGCUCAACCGUAGUAAGCCGCCGAAACUGGAGGACUUGAGUGCAGGAGAGGAAAGUGGAAUUCCCAGUGUAGCGGUGAAAUGCGUAGAUAUUGGGAGGAACACCAGUAGCGAAGGCGGCUUUCUGGACUGCAACUGACACUGAGGCACGAAAGCGUGGGUAGCAAACAGGAUUAGAUACCCUGGUAGUCCACGCUGUAAACGAUGAGUACUAGGUGUCGGGGGUUACCCCCCUCGGUGCCGCAGCUAACGCAUUAAGUACUCCGCCUGGGGAGUACGCACGCAAGUGUG